CAACGAACUAUCAACUUAUCUUUCUGGACCGUCCUCUAAGGUUGAGUUCACUGAGGUCAUAUCCAACUCAAAGAAAUCUGUCUCUCUGUCUCUCUGAAGUGUUUAAUGGCCAUGGCGAUAUGGCAAAGAAAAAAAGCGUUAAUGAACAAGGUAAUGCUGCUGACCAGACUGAAAGAAGAGGAGGUUAUUGUGGUUUGUGAAGUCAAGCAGCACUGGGAGUACAUGAGGAGCAUGACUGAAGAGCUUUCAUCCCAGUGUUCUGAAGGCAUCACCCAGCAAAGCAGCACCGAGGGGUUGACGGAGAGAGGACGUGAGGGGCUACUCUGUCUGCUAAAGAGAAGAUUAUCUGUAGUUCAAGCUCAGCAGGGUGCAGCACGUACAAUAUACCAAAGUGUUUUGGGACUGCAAACGGUGUCUAUGGAUGACUCCUCCGCUGAUGAACAAGAAAACUUGGAAAAUAGCUCCUCCUCUGAUGAAGAACUUUGACUUCCCCCAAAAGGAGUCUACUCUCU